rnacentral:rRNA from 1 species
CACGUAGGGGCCAAGCGUUGUCCGGAUUUAUUGGGCGUAAAGAGCUCGUAGGCGGUUCGACAAGUCGGGUGUGAAAACUCCGGGCUCAACCCGGAGACGCCACCCGAUACUGUCGUGACUGGAGUCCGGUAGGGGAGUGGGGAAUUCCUGGUGUAGCGGUGAAAUGCGCAGAUAUCAGGAGGAACACCAGUGGCGAAGGCGCCACUCUGGGCCGUAACUGACGCUGAGGAGCGAAAGCGUGGGUAGCAAACAGG